rnacentral:rRNA from 1 species
GACGAACGCUGGCGGCGUGCUUAACACAUGCAAGUCGAACGGAAAGGCCCUGCUUUUGUGGGGUGCUCGAGUGGCGAACGGGUGAGUAACACGUGAGUAACCUGCCCUUGACUUUGGGAUAACUUCAGGAAACUGGGGCUAAUACCGGAUAGGAGCUCCUGCUGCAUGGGGGGGGUUGGAAAGUUUCGGCGGUUGGGGAUGGACUCGCGGCUUAUCAGCUUGUUGGUGGGGUAGUGGCUUACCAAGGCUUUGACGGGUAGCCGGCCUGAGAGGGUGACCGGCCACAUUGGGACUGAGAUACGGCCCAGACUCCUACGGGAGGCAGCAGUGGGGAAUAUUGAACAAUGGGCGGAAGCCUGAUGCAGCAACGCCGCGUGCGGGAUGACGGCCUUCGGGUUGUAAACCGCUUUCGCCUGUGACGAAGCGUGAGUGACGGUAAUGGGUAAAGAAGCACCGGCUAACUACGUG